GUAUCUCUGAGGAUAGAAAGGUUUGAUCCCUGGCCUCAAUCAGUGGGUUAAGGAUCCAGCGUUGCCAUGAGCUGUGGCGUAGGUUCCCAGGCUAGGGGUCCAAUCAGAGCUGUAGCUGCCAGCCUACACCAGAGCCACAGCAACUCGGGAUCCGAGCCGCGUCUGCAACCUACACCACUGCUCACGGCAACACCGGAUCCUUAACCCACUAAGCAAGGGCAGGGAUCGAACCCACAACCUCAUGGUUCCUAGUCGGAUUCGUUAACCACUGAGCCGUGACGGGAACUCCAGGUUGGUUUUUUUUAAUGCAAGUUUUAUAUGAAAUAUAAUAUACACCAUAGAAUCAUACACAAAUGCUUGAUAUACACCAUAGAAUCAUACACAAAUGUUUGAAUGAACGUAACUACAUAACCACACCGAGAUCAAGAAACGGAACAUCGCUGGCCCACCUGAAUACUCCCUUAUUCCCCUUUCAAUCACAGUCUCACUUUACUAUAAAUAAAUUUUGAAUGUUUUUGAAAUUUAUAUAAGUGAAUUCUCAAUUUCAUUCUCUUUUGUGUCUGGCUUCUUGUGCUCAACAUUAUGUUUGUGAGAUUCAUCCAUGUUUGCAGUGUGUCAUUGUGAUUUGUUUAUCCUCCUUGGUGUAUAAUAUUCUAGUACAUGAAUAUAUCACAGUAUCAAUCUACCCUGCUGUUAAUGGGUAUUUAGGUGGUGUCCUUUUAGUCUAUUAUAGAUUUCGCUGCUAAUUAUCAUUCUAGUUCAUGUCUCUUGGAGAACAUAUGCAAGCAUUUCUACUGUAUAUGUAUAUGCUUUUAUUGGGCAUAUUUGUAAUAGUAUAUGCAUAUGUUCAGUUUUGGUAGACCCUGCCAAACUGUCUUCAAAGUGGUCUUCUCUUUCCUUUUAAAAAGGAAUGUAGCUGAAGGUUCUUGUAAAUAAAUGAAUUACUCUGUUUACCAUAUGAAUCUGUUUGCCAAAAUUAUAUCGAUGGCCUACACUUCCAGUAAUAUCGCUGUUGUAUAAAGCAAAGUAUGUCUGGGUGAGUUUGUAACUUUAUUUCUGAGAUUUCCUUUUCCUGGGAAUUCUUCGCUCUAUCACUAAAAAGCCAUUUGACGAUUUCAAAUAUGGCAGAGCUUAAACUGGUUGAUUUUCAGUAGUCGUUUCAGUGCUCAUUCUAAGCUUUUCUCACCUUUCAAUUCUGUGACCAUAACCCUUGAAUUAUUUGCUUGUGCUCACCGAGUCUUGGCUUGCAGCAGGGCCCCUCCACAAGAGGGUACAUACCCACUUUCGUUCUUCAGCUCAAACAACAUUCGCAAAAGUUCUGCCUUCAAAACAGUCUAAAGAAUUGUUAUUGAGCAAUUUCCCAAAUUAUGUACGUUUUUUCCCUUCUGGUUUCAGACGUUUUAUGCUCCCUUUCGUCCUUACCAUCACCACGUCAUUUCUUGCCUGCCUCCUGUGGACAGAGCACAGAGGGAAACACUCACUUUACAUGUGUUAUUUCAUUUAAUUUUCAUAGCAGGCCCAUCAAAUAGGAAUCAUCACAGCUUAUUGAGCCAAGGCACAGAGAGGUGUUAAGUUGCUCCAGAACAGCUCACAAGUGGCAGAAUCGAGGUUCUAACCACAGGGCACAAGACUCUGAAGUCAGAGCUCUUUCCUUCUAAUAAACAUCCUCACGUCCCUAUAUCCCUCCCUUGGAAGUGCUUAAAUUACAAAGAACAAAACACCUCCUGCACAGAACUCUUUGAAGCGAAUGUUCUGUUCAGUCAAGUUCAUUAGCUGGUUGUCAGGAGAAAUCUCCAGCGAAUGCCUGUUAGCUGUGCUUUGAGUCAGUAAAUGUUGAAAACUCUGCAUCUGUGAACUCUUUGUCCCUCUUCUCUCCUUGCCAACCAGCUCAGUAUUCUGCUGCCAACAGAAUCUUUCUCUCCUAUCCCUGAUACUUGAUACCCCAUACUUGAUUCACACUGGAUUCCAAAUCAAUUGUAAAUUGUUAGCCAAUUGCAAAUCCAGACUACUUCCCACUCCUGCUUGGCACCCCCUUCCCAUCUCCCUCUGGCUGUCUUCUAGUCCCAUGGCCAUCAAAUUGAGCUUUCACCAUUAUGUCUGCUCAUCAUCUGUUAUUUCAGAUCUGAGCAAAGCAAUGGAGACAAUUCCUUUCUUUCAGCAUCUGUGCUCUCUAGGAGGUUAAUGUGGCAAUAUUUGUAAUGAUUAUGAAAAGGAGGCUUUACUUUGAUCCUUCCCGCCUGUAGCUACAGUUCUGGCUUUAUUUUUAUGGCUAGACUUUUGGUGUCUGGGACUAUGAUUCUAAGACUACAAAAUAUUUCAAUGGCAAAGGGAAAGAUUCUAAUAUCCAACCUCCACGGUAAUUAAUAGCUUCUAUUUAAGCUCCUAGCGUGUGUUAGGCAUUAUUCAGGGUACACUGUAUAAGAUGUAUGGCAUAUUAAUUUAUCAACAUGACAACCCUGUGAAUUUUGUUAGUCCCAUUUACAGAUGAGGAAAUUGAGGCAGGGGGAGUUAAGCAAUUGACUCAUGGGUAUCAGCUGGAAAGCGGUAGCCUCAGGAUUCGAACCCAGGCAGUCUAACUCUAGUCAUGUUUAUUCAUUCUGCUCCUCUGCCCAAUGGUGGAUAAGUCCUGGAACGAGUCCUCUGUCUGAAGCUAGGAAAGUGGAAUGGGCCCUGGCUGUGCCACUUAUUAGAGGGGAGAGGACAAUUUUCCUAUUUGUAAAAUAAGGACAAGCCAGGUUGAUGUGAUAUUCAGCAAGAGUGGUGCACGUGAAAGUGCUUUGUGAGCUGCAAAGCAAAGGCUAGAGGCGGCAUCAUGACCGUUGUCUCCUCGCAUUACUCUCCUUGAGAUGCAGCCUCAGUUCAUUGAGAUUUGAUUCAAAGCACAUGAUGGGUCUGCAAGGCGCUGGCAUUAAUAACCACCUGAUAUUUUGCUUUGUCACCAUUUCUGCUCUAUCCAAACUAUGAAAACACCCAGAUUUUGCCCCUUUGAAAGAACAUAAAAUAUUGGAAGAUUUCUGAAAGUAGGCUCCACUUGAUAUUGGAGUUCCGCUUUCACAGACCUACUGACGCCAAAGUCCAGUUUGUAGAGGAGCCCCAGGCCCCCGAUACAUGCAAGGAGUGAUGCUUAGGAAGAGCCUCCAAGGGCUGUGGGUUCUUGGAAGGAAUAGGGUCCAGCUCUGCUCAGUUUUCUGUGCCAAGUUCCUGAGCAGCUUGAUUUCUAGGGAAAAUACCUAAUUGCUGGUGUGGCAGCAUCUUAGGUAGGAAACAGCAAGGUGUAGUGGAAAGAACACAGGGAGAUUUGGGUCCCGUUGAAUGCUGACUCCUCACAAUAUCACCAGAUUCCCUGCAGUUAAGACGAGGCUGAGUUUAUUGCUUGCCUCAGUCAAGCAAGCGCCACCUAGGUGGAGUUUUAACUUCUCAGAGUGAGGAGAGUGAAGUUGGGGCAUUUAGGAGGCUUUGAGGAAGUCUUAACUAGGAUUGGAUGAGGAUCAGCUAUAAUAGUUUAAGACUAGUGAACACAGUAAGGCAAGAGGGGUCGUGGAGUCAUUGGAUGCUAUGUUGGUAAAACCAGGCAGUUUGCAGUAGGUUUUGGGGAAGUCUCUGAAGUGAAUAACAAUGUUAUUUGCAACUUUUAUCUUCCUGGCCAAGACUUUCCUGGAAGAGCAGAGUACGUUGAUGGAGCCAGUGAAAUAGUAGUUUUGGCAGUGAAGUCAGCAGAAUAGUCCCAUUAUGGUAGACAGUGAGCCACAAUGGUGUAGACAGUUUUUAGCUCUCAGCCUGAACCCUGGCAGCAGCUUACCAGAUGUGUGACCUAGGUCAUUAUCUGUGAAAUGGUGACACUCAUACUGACUUUGCAAGGUAUUUUUGAGGGUUAAAUCAUAGGAUAUGUAUAAAAUACCUUGGACAGAGUAAGUAGUCAACUACUAGUGAGUUUCUGAACUUUCAGAAAUAAUAUCCAAAAUCAUUGUGAAGAACUUGUCUUUGCGAAUAGGAAGCUGCUGUCAUAGCUGAUGGUUUGAGAAUCACGCUGCUGUAGCCAUGAUCCCUGGCAGCAGAGGGAUGUGCUGCACUCUGCCUUUCUCUGCAUGUGACUUAGCUCCUGAUCAAACUCCAGUGCAGGGAAUUCCAUGAUGUCUCUUGGGGUUGAGGAUCCAGUGUUUUCCCUGCUGUGGUGUGGGUUUGAUCCCUGGCCCCAGAACUUUCUCAUGCCAUGGGCAUGGCCAAAAAGGAAAAAAAACCAAAAAACAAAACUUGUCCAGUGCAUCUCCUUGUUAGAACCUAAUUCACACACAGAAGCCCAGCUGCAACGGCAUCUGGGGGGGUAUGGUUUUUGCUUUUCCGGCCUCUGCAUGCUACGGAGAGGUUGGACUGGGUACAGAGCAAAGCAGUUCACGUUACCCACCACAGGCAGCAUGCCAUUGAAGCUUAACUCUCAAGGCACAGCGACUUCCUGAGCAAGGAACCCCAUGCUCUCUGCUCUUUCCCCAUCUUUGUCAUUUCACUGCCCAUUAGACUCCUAACCACCAAAGAGAGCAAAGGCAAAGAGUGGAGGAGAAAUAAAUUUGUCUGCUUUGCUUCUUGCAGAUGAAAGAGGUAAGGUGAAAAAUUAUUGGCUGCUGGCAUAAUACACAGAGCAUCAGAGUUAAAGAAUUACGCUUGAGUCUCUGGGCAGGUUCGUUGUCCCCAUUCUACCCACCCCAGGUUUUGGGCAAGGAGAUGAGCCCCAUGACCCAGAGAGUGAGCACAUCCUUCCCCUCCCACCUCUACCACACCUGCACUUGGCCUGCUCUUCAUUUAGUCAUUCAACAAGCAGGCCACAUGCCACAGUUAGAUGAGAAAUCGGUAUCUCUACUGGGCACCCAAAUGUUUCCCACCUCCGUCUUGCAAAUCCCUUUGAGAUCGCUCCUCUGAAUGAGGGAGGGAAAUUUGAAGAACGUAGAAGCCUGGGUUUUUGUCCUAGGUCAGCCCAUUUCUCUGCUGUGUGUAUUGGUCAGCUCAGGCGGCCAUACCACAGACUGGGUGGCUCAAACAACAGAUACGAAUUUUCUCACAACUCCAGAGGCUGAAAGUCCAAAAUCAAGGUGUCAGCAGGUUUAGUUUUUCCUUAGGCAUCUCUCCUUGGCUUGCAGAUGGCUGCCUACUUGCUGUCCUCACAGCCUCUUCCACGUGUGUGCAUGUCUUAUAGGGACACUGUGGAUAAGGGGCCCAUUCUCAGGCUCUCCUUUGCCUUAGUGACCUCUCGAAAGGCCUUCUCUCCAAGUAUAGUCAUACUGAGAGUUAGGGAUUCAGUGUACCAUUUGGGAGGCCAUACACUGUGUGGUCUUGGACAAGUCCUGUCACCUCUGGCCUCAGUUUCAUGCACAACCUGAUAGGACUGGGGCAUAUGGCUUCCUUUCAGCUCUUUGACUCUAUCAUUUCUUUGGGGACAUUCAACUCCUAAGUGACAACUCAGGAAGUGACUUGUUUUCUUGAAGCGAGACUAGUGGCUUCAAUCACCCUGUGACCCCCUUCCCACUGCCGGGGCCCUUCCUGCUCCGUUUCCAUCACUCUUCUAGCCCUUUCCACACUCUCUGCUUUGUACUUGUACCGAUUUGUUGGCACGUCUGUCUUCCCCAGAGUCUU
rnacentral:lncRNA from 1 species